rnacentral:tRNA from 1 species
GCCCAGGUGGCGGAAUUGGCAGACGCGCUACCUUGAGGUGGUAGUCCUGGAAACAGGGUGGAGGUUCAAGUCCUCUCCUGGGCA